rnacentral:lncRNA from 1 species
GCAAACAGCUCAAAUUUUCAGCAGCCAAAGUUGUCCUUCAAUGGUAGCAAAAAUCUCCAAAAAUUUCCAGCAACAUAACCUCAAAAUUCAGCAGUAAAAACCUUGAAUUUUCAGCACCAAAAUCCCUCUAAAAAGCACCAAAUCUUCUCUCUCAAAGUGCAGCAAAAAUCAGCUUCUUACCUCACAAAUUUUCAGCUUUCUUCUUCCUCCAAAAAUUAUGACAAAAGCUC